CCUUAAAGACCUACCAAGCUGGCUCUCAUUCCAGGCCAAUUAAAUCAGAGCCUUGGAGGACCUAGACAUCUGUAUUUUUAACAGCUCUGCAGCUGACUCUGAUGUGCAGCCAGGGUUGAGAAGGGCCACUCCAACAACCAGGGGCAUCCCUGUAGAAUCAGCCCUGCAGACAGCCUGGGUUCCAGUGGAAGGGAUGGCUUUCCAGUCCAGGUCUUUGCUGUUCCUCCUGCGGUCUGCACACCAGCAGCACCAUCAUCACCUGGGAGCUUGUUACAGAUGCAGAUUCUCUGACUUCUUACUGCACCAGUGAAGUCAGGAUCUGCAUUUGAAUAAGACCCCAGACAAUGCCUAUUGAAGUGUGAGAUACUCUGAGAGACAGGAGGUUCUAACAGCAGAAGGGGUAAGUUAGGGCAGAGUUAGGGUGGACUGAGAACUACCUGGGUUUUAAAUUGAAAGGCCUGCAUCCUGAGAACCCCAUCAAUCCCUGGAAAACUAGAAAGGUUGGUCAUCCUAGACUAGUAGUUGUCAAUAGGAGGCAAUGUUAUCCCCAGGGGACAUUUGGCAAUGUCUGGAGAACUUUUUGAUUGUCACAACUGGGGUGGAGGGUGGGUUACUACUGGAAUCUGGUGGAUAGGGGCCAAAAAUGCAGUUAAACAUCCUACAAUGCACAGGAUAGUCCCACAACAAAGUAUCCAGCCCAUAAUGUCAAUGGUGCUGAAACCAAGAAACCCCGCAUAGGGCAGGUGGAUUAUUAGAAUGUAUUGGCCUAUUUUGGGCAAGCGCUAAAGAGCUAGCUUUGUUGGCUUGAUUCCUGGGGCAGAGCUAUUCCAUUUAGAGCUGACUCUUUAAAGCUAUGACCUUGCCUUGACCUUGGCCCCCAGGUCCUGCCUUUUGGAAUGACCCGCUCUCGUAUUGCUGUCUUUGGACCUAAGCCUGGACCCUGCUUCCUCCAUGGCUCCCCUUGCAAUUAAUUGUUUAGAUGAGUGAGGUUCUGGCCCUCUAUUGGUUACAGCCUCAGAUGAGCACAAAUGGUCAGUUUAUCGUGUCUCUAGAUAGAAUGGAUGAAGUGGCAAGGUGGAAGGCCUCGAAGAAGAUGCCUUUUGCCUCUAGCUGUUUCCAGUAAUAACAAUAAUAAAAUGACUUCUUC
rnacentral:lncRNA from 10 species